rnacentral:rRNA from 1 species
GAUGAACGCUGGCGGCAGGCCUAACACAUGCAAGUCGAACGAAGUCUUCGGACUUAGUGGCGGACGGGUGAGUAACACGUGGGAACGUGCCUUUAGGUUCGGAAUAACUCAGGGAAACUUGUGCUAAUACCGAAUGUGCCCUUCGGGGGAAAGAUUUAUCGCCUUUAGAGCGGCCCGCGUCUGAUUAGCUAGUUGGUGAGGUAAAGGCUCACCAAGGCGACGAUCAGUAGCUGGUCUGAGAGGGUGAUCAGCCACAUUGGGACUGAGACACGGCCCAAACUCCUACGGGAGGCAGCAGUGGGGAAUCUUGCGCAAUGGGCGAAAGCCUGACGCAGCCAUGCCGCGUGAAUGAUGAAGGUCUUAGGAUUGUAAAAUUCUUUCACCGGGGACGAUAAUGACGGUACCCGGAGAAGAAGCCCCGGCUAACUUCGUGCCAGCAGCCGCCGUAA